GCCCGAAUAGCUCAGGGGUAGAGCAGAAGACUGAAAAUCUUUGUGUCGGUGGUUCAAGUCCUCCUUUGGGCA